UUUUUCCCUUCAGGGUAAAGUUCUGUUCCGUCUUCCAUCAACACAUUUACUUUUCCGCCUGACUCGGCGCGCGUGCGCAGUGCCGCCCGGCCCAGGCUGCUCCUGAAAUGUGAGCGUGUUGAACCCGGGGAGGGAAACUGGAUGGCCGUUCUGCAGGAGGCGUGUGGCGAGGACGCUUUGGCCCAGCGGGUAAGGACGCGGACUGGCACGUGGUGGCACAGCCGUUCAAACCCCGGACGCACCUGGGAGGCUGAACCCGGGCUACCGGAGGGGGUCCCCAAGCUGGGGGCCGCAGCCGGCGCUCGGCGCGCGGCAAGUUACCAUCUGUAGGAUUGCCCGGGGCGUUUCCAGUCCUGCUCCUCCGCGUGCUCUUCUAAAGCCCGGGCUGCCGAACCUUCUAGCAUUUGGAUCCUUCGAAAGACCCAUCCAGUCGGAUCUUUAACAACAGACCCCCCUUUCCCCCCCCCCUCAAAAAAAAAAAGACGCAUCUCUGGGCUGUCUCGCGUUUCACUGACUCGAAAUGUGUUUCUUCAGGUCAGUCGAGCAGUAGUUUACGCGUAAUUUGACUCAGCAAUUUCACCAUCCGGACGUUAUCCUACUUACCGGGCAUCCAUCAGUACCAGGAGGCGCGUUCAAGGAGGUUCUUUACUAUAUAUUGUUUAUUAUAAUACAGUGAGAAUUGACAAAAUAAACAAUGGAGAUUCCGUAAGUGCUCCACAAGAGUUUAAGAAAUAACUGUGUGCUGGGCACAGGAGUCCGUGUGCUCACUGAUAAGCACUAAGGAACCAACAAUGUUAAACACACAGGGUUGUUUGUCUCUUCAAUGAGAGUGACAUAUAACCUAUUUCCACCUAGAAGGCUGGGAAUGGACGAAGUUAACAGCCUGGUGACAUUUAUCAUUAGUGUGUUUUUCUCUGUCUGUAGAAACAAGUUUUGUUUGUUUUUGUUUUUUGAGACAGGGUUUGUCUGUGUAACAGCCCUGGCUGCCUCCCGAGUGCUGGGAUUAAGGACCAUCACUCCUAUAGAAACUGUCUUUAUGGAAGAUGUCACAUGUACUUUACAAAGUGUUUCAGUGUAGUUGUGUCUUAAACUUUAUUGUGCACACAUUUUUGAGUUAAUUGUGCACCUAGGAUUGAGUUAAUUAUUGCCAGGAAAGUUUUCACCAACUUGUACUGUGCUUAAAUAUGCCUAAAAUAAACUCCUUGGUGUCAGACUCUCAAAGUUUGAACCAGCACUGGC